rnacentral:lncRNA from 1 species
AUGGUUGAAGUUUUUCAAUAUUGUGUAUGAUAAUUUGCCAUUAUAUUGCAACCACUAUAAACACCAAGGACAUGAUGAAAAUACAUGUCGCGGUUGAAUGAAAAGGCAGUAGGGAGCAUGCCAGGUGAGGAAGAUGAUGUCGUGCAAAGAGAAGAAGAGAUACUGGUUAAGGAAGAUAAGUUAGUUAAGAAGUAUCAAGGUGAUUUGAGGCAAUUGCUUAGUGAAAAAAAGUGACUUCCAGGUUUGAUUGAGGCAACAGGUGUCGAGGAUAAAGCCCAUAGAACUGAUGGUGUACAGAUUCAUUAUAAAUCUGGGAAUCAGUCAUUAAAAGAUGCUACUGCUGGGGCAUUAAAAGAUGCUUUGCUUCCUGUUGAAACAGCUCUUGCCAAGGCUUGUAAUGAUACCUGAUGUUGUGAAAAAUAAACUCCCAGCUGAUAUACCUGCUACAAGAGCUUUGUCCACGAUUUACAAGGCAGUGAGUAAGGCAACUACAGAUGCACUAGCUGGAGAUGUUCGUGGAUAUGCUGAAAGUUCAAAUUGGGCAACACUGGAUACUACUGUUGUUAAACCUACUAUUGCACUUACAAUUGAAAAAAGAGUUGGGUUAAAUGCUACUGUUGUGCAUGAUUAGGGGCAAGGUGUUGAACGUGUGAGAACUUUAAAUAAUAUAAAUGAUGCAGGUAUUAAGGCAAAGGAACAAGCUAGGCAGAUGCAAGAAACUACAAAAGAUCAACAAAAUACAUAGUUCAAGUAGGGGAGGAAAAAUCUGGGCAGUUUAUUGGGGUUACUGGGGGUGUUGAUUGCCAAGUUGCUACUGCUACUGCAUUAAAGGCUGCUGCUGAUCGACAUGUUUAUUCAAAUAAGAUUUAUAAUGUUCAACAAGUCGAUGGGGCAUAUGUGAUUCAAAUUGGUAAUGGGCGAGGGAUUUCGUUUAUCAACCAACUACUGAAAAUGCAAGUCCAAUAUCUGCAGCCCUGAAGCAAGGUUCUCUGUUUUCUGAGGGGGGAUUUACUAGUAUUCACAAUGCAGUGCGUAAUGCAACUGUUAGAGAUCGUGGAUAUGCUGAAAUGUCAAAUUUGGAGGCUACUGCAGCAUUGAAGGCAGUUGGUGAUCGAGUUGUUUAUGGGGUAGUUGAACCUACUGCUGCACAUGCCGAUUUAAUUGAAAAAUCAUUAGGUCCAAUAACAUCUUUGUCUAGCAAAAAUAAUGUUUCAGUUCACAAAACUCAAACUAGUGUAGAAAAACUCAGUGAAACACCUACAGAAGCACGUGCACAAUUCUAUGCACCUGAACAGAUUCCAUCAGCGUUUCUAUUUCAAUUUUCUGCUGUGCAGCCAGAAAAUAAUUCUAUUCUUAUGGAUGGAAGAUUUAUGGAUCGUGUAGAUGUUAUGGAAUUCGAGUAUGCAGUAUCUAACUUAGCACAAAUACUGGUUGUAAGUACGACCAAUAAUAAAGAAAACGUGGCAACAUUGAAUUGGUUAAGAAUAGUAGUGCUCGACAACAUGCUAAUGUGAACAACUUGGCGGAGGGGUUAACGGUCUGUUAAACACGAAGCUCCAACACUCCUAAUCAACAUUCUUCCAGUCCACAUGUGAAAAAAAUCAUUAAGGAAACUCAGGUUUCCAUGAUGUCGAACGCCACUCCUAUGGCCAAACAACCGUUGGUCACUUUGAAUACAUCGGCACAUGAGAUUCCUUUUCAAUCAUUGGAGUCAUUUGGUGAGUAUUGUAUUGAAUCCGAGCAGCUCCUACUAUCCAUAUGGAAUGAUUAUGAUAUAGUCAAAGAGGAUAUGAGGGAGGAGAGUAAUAUGCAAAUUUGCUGUGGGCUGAUCAAGUUGAGGAUGAAGAGGACGAUGAUGAAGUUGAUUUUGAAUAUGGUAAUGAAAAGGAAAUUGAAUGUGGCAGCCCAUUUUCAGUGGGAUCACCAACGGCACAAGCCCAUGAUAGGGCACUCUUACAUGCAUUGGACAGUCCAACACCACACAAAUUUGCACUUUCAACAGUCGCACAAUGGCUGCAAUCUUCAGGUAAGAACAACAACACAAAUAUUCAAUCUCAAGCCUCAAUUGAUAAACCUAACAUUAAAGAAGGAGUGGUCACCAGGCAACCCCCAAUGCGAGUUGCAAAGCAAAAGGGGGCAACCCCAAUCACAUCCACAAGGCCCAAUCGAUCUAAGAAGAAAUGAUGAAUUUUGAAGACAUUUUGAAGAGAUUGGAAGAAGAAGAAGCCAAAAACCUACAAAUUGAAGAGUGCACAUGCUUGAAAAAAGAGGGGCAACAAUCAAAUAUUUACCGUAUUUUAUUUUACCAUUUUAUAAGUAUAAUCAUAUGUAAUAUCAUGAUAGAGUAUGUUAUAAAUUCUGUGAUGAUCAUACAGUGCUUAGUUCGUUCUUCUUCAUAUUUGUUACAUUCUGGUUAGUAGUUGUGUUCUUUAAUGCCUCAUUAGGAACUAUGAGGUAAGGUUUAGCGUAGUAUGUGCUUGCUCAUGUCCUACGCCUUUGGAAUAUAUCCAUACGGCUAUGAGAUCAUUCACCCUCAUGAGGCUAUGCUAGCAGCCUAUGAGGCUACGUCAAAGGACAUUGGAGGCGCAGAUGGAUGAUUAUAUAGUAAAGUCAUAGUGGCAAGACUACUGCUGCUUUUGUCGCCCUUACUUGUACUCUUCCUUUGUGAUUUUUCUGUUUAAUAUUAAUAUAAAAACUACUAGGAAUCAUGCCUGGUGGUCUAUUUGCUAACAAAAAAAAUAUUGAAAAGGAAGGGCUUACCCUAUUUGUGCUUCAGACUGAAAUCUUCCAUCCUCUCCUAUGUACAAUUCCACCCUUUCUCUUACUUAAUCAAAUUAAAGAAUGCCAUAUACUCUCAUUGCCCUCCUCUUUCUCCUCAACUCCUUGCUAUGAGUGAUCAAUUUUGAAUGAUUGUACUGAAUAUCAACGUGGGGGCCCUUGUGGAUAAAUCAAAAUUUGGGGAUAUAAAUUAGAGAGUAGGAGUAAAGAAAAAGGGUUGGACAGUUGUAUCAAUUUGCUUAAAUUUCAUCCUACUGAGUGUGAAGGACUGGCCUGAGAACGUUUUGUUUGUGCAUGAUAGGUAGUUUUCUAUAAGCCCGUGUGUGGUUGAAUUUGCGACCGCAGAAACAUUUUGCGUAUCGCAAAAUAGUCACAGAGAAAGGCAGAUAAAAGGAUAUAUCUGAAGAACAACAUGCAACCGAUAUGCGGUCGCAUAAGUUGUUAUGCGGCCACUUCUGCAUACCACAUAAUUUGUUUUGCUUCUGAGGGUUGUAUUAUGUGAUAGGUUUUGCGGAUCGCAGAGUUGUUAUGCGAUCGCAUAACUGGUCGCAGAAACAUCUUUGUUUUUAAAUUCCUUAUAAUAUGUUACCCAUGCCUUAUCACUUACUCACUCUUUAUUAAUUGACAGGAAUGGAACCAAAGAAAGUUCGAGCAUCGCGACAACCCACCAAUCAAGGAAAGAGACAUGCUGCUGCUAUAAGCCCACAAUCACAACAAUCCCAAUGCAAGCGGCCUGACUCAUCCAGAACUUUAUCUGCGUAUUCCUCCCAGUAUGAAGAGGAGGAGGCACAACUUGCUCUUAUGCCACCAGUUGACCUCCAUGCCGAAGCAUGCCGAAAGAUGGGUGAGGAUCUCAGGUUUGGGAUCUCCGGCUCUUGGACUUUGUACCUAGAUGGCCUGACAAAGAGAAAGAUCCUCGAAGAAAAGAAGCUAGGCUUGAACGGGUUAAAAUAACACUACCCCCAUGUGCUAGAAAACAUCAAAACAAGAGGAUGGGAGUUCUUCACUCAUGUUCCGGGGGAGUACAAUGAGACACUCAUUAGGGAAUUCUAUGCUUCAUAUGCUGCAUCCAGGAACGCUGAACAGGAGAGAAACCAUAGGUUUUUGGCAUCCGUCUUAGUUUGAGGGGUUGAAAUAUUCUGUGAUGCCUCCUCAAUCACUGAUAUAUAUUAUGAAGCAUGGGAAACAGGCACUUCAGAAUUUAACGCAAGAUUGCAAAUAAGUAAUCCGAGCGUGCUUGGGUAGCCUCUUUCAUAUCCAAGGGAACUCCGUCCUUGAUCGCGCCGCGCCAGAAGAUUCACAUAGGGAUCUUACACAAGAAGGCUAGUAUUGGCUCAGUUUGGUUUGUUCUCAUAUAAUGCCCUCCAGCAAUGAAACUGACCUAAGUAUCGAGAAGGCGAUCCUCAUUGCAUGCAUCAUGUUGGGUAUCAAGGUUAAUGUGGGAGAGCUUAUAUUCCGUGAGUUUAGGAUCCGGGCGAACCAGAAAGAAACCUCGCUUCUUUUUCCAUGCUUAAUCCAUGCUUUGUGUGAAGCUAGGGAAGUUCCUCCUUUACCCAAACAUGACCGUAUAGAAACAGCUGUUCAUGACUCUGACAUUACACGGAUCAAUGAUGCAUUAGAUAAAGUGAUUGAAGGUCCAUUAGAACAUUCAAUCACUCCUCUCCCAGCCUCUGCAACAUCUGCUACCUCAUCAGUGCCCGACACUUCAUCCGCGCCAGCAACAUCCACAUCCACUCCAAGACCAGCCACUGCAACACCACUUGUCUUACUGCCUGCACUUUCAAAGCUUGGGCUACUGGCACAACAUGCAAAUGCCAAAGUGGAUAAAUUGACAAAAGAACUUUCAUCUCUCUUCCGGUAAGAACUGGCCCCGAUCCAAACCUCAGUAAGUGCUCUUCAACAACAACAUCUAUCAUAUGAUAAUCGACUAAAGCGCUUGGAAGUGCGCCUUGAAAGGGUUUGAGAUAGGCAGCGAUGGGGACAUACCUCAACUAAAAAAGAAUGUAUCUGAGCUCAAGUCAGAACUGCAUAAGAUGCAGACACGGGAGUUUGAUUUGACCUCCAUUCUGCCGGUGGAAGGAGAGUAGGGCAUUGGAACCUCCCACAUACCAAGCCAUGAGUUUGAUUUUACAAACAUCAUGUCAGCUGAGGUAGCCCAUGGUACUGCGAUCUCACAAGCUCCGAGCUCCGUUUCACACACCAACGAUCCAGAAGCUGAGGAAUCUGGAGAGUCUGAUGAAGGAACUGAUGAAGAGGAAACUGAUGAGGAGAGGAUACUUGAGGGGGGUGAUAGUAAGAUGGACAAGAGAGGCAAACAAGUUGUUGGUUCUAUAUAUGCACUGGCUAAAGAGGAGGAAGAUGUGAAAAUAACCAUUGCACAGUCCCUUGCAUAUAUAGUCGCCAAAGCUACUACCAUGACCAUACAACAAUCAUUGGGUGAGGCUAGCAGCUCACAGGUCCAAGACCCAGCAACACAACUAUCCAGUCAGAUGUUCCACCUACUGCAUCUAUAGUGUCAGCCCCAAGGCCGCCUCGGAUGUUCCAACCUCCCCAAGUGCCUAGUACGCCCCAGGAAUUCCCAAAAACUUUACUCUUACUUUCUCAAUGCAUUGGGGACAAUACAUGCUCUUUCGUUGAGGGUGGGGUAGUAAAUAUUUCACAACUUGUAUAUAAAAUUUUAAUCUUAAAAUUGUAGAUUUGUAUAUAACAAUGAAUUCUCCUUAGUUUUUCUUCGCUGGGUUCUUUUCCACGGGUGUAAUAGUAGAACCAUGGCCACAAAACAUCUUGGACUUGUUUAGUGAUUUUGUUCUAGCUUCAAGCAUAUGAUAUGUUUUUGUUGAAUAAAGUGCACCCUUCAAAUUUUGUAAAUAAAUGGUUAGUCAGUCUCGUGAAAUCGAGGCUCACUUUUUGACUUUGUGCCUACUUAGAAUCUCAAAUAUCAUGUGAAGAAGCUUUGAGUUGCCUUGUAUUCACUUGAGGGCUAAAAUUAUGCCGAGUCGAAUAGUUCAUGCGUUGUGAGUGAGUUAGAAGUUGUGUAAAUAUUGCACUGCUUAACUUGUAAUCUAUAGAACUUGCCCCGUUGGUUUCUCAAAGCAAUUCUCAGGUUGAUGAUUGGGCGUUGAAAUGAUCUUAGGCUCUCUUUAUGAUUGAUAACUAAUUUUUGACCAAAUAACCUCCUUGGUACAUCUAUUGUCCUAGUUACCCCCCCUGUUGAGCCUUUAACCUUUUAUUUGGCUACUACAUUAUAAACCUUUACCCCUUUGUGAAAUAAGUUCCCUUUGAACCCGUCCUUCCUUGAACGAGUAAGAAUAAGGCUAAAAGCCUAUGUUGGGGGUGUUGGUGUUAAUUGAAAAUUGGUAAAGUUGUACAUUGUGUGUAGAAUAAAAGACCUCAUAGUUGUGUAUAUGAAGAUAAUCAAAAAAAAAAGAAAAAAAAAUGUUGGUGUGGAGUCUUAUGAAAACUAAAGAAAUACGUUGAGGUAGUUCUAUGUCGGUAACUAGAGGUCAAUUAGGGCUAUGCGGUAAAAAGCAAAGUGUAUGUAGAGUUCAAGGAGGGUACAACCACUACAUUCCCAAAUAUUCGUCCAACCCGUCCCGAAGCCUACAUUACAAACCAUGAAAAGUCCUUGGUAAUCUACAACCAAUUAUUCCUAAGAUAACAAUGAUUUAAAAUAAGGGCAAGCAUAUGGACUGAUAUUUGUAGCGUUUAGGCUCCUUUCCGAGUGCAAGAGCGUUUGAUUGUAUCCCCUGUACAUAUUUGUUGAGUUGGGGAUUUUCUUUGAUGUGAGCACGCAUGAAUUGCAAGAAUUAGCAGAAAUUAAGCCUUUUGAGGUAGGAUACAAAUGCAUAUCUAGCUAUGAGUAGCACUCUGUCAUUUUUCUAGAGGCUCAAAAGUUCACUAAAUGAUUAGUCGAACUGUACUUGAUCUUUGUCCUUGAAGAAGGGUGAGAGUUGUGGUUACAUGCUUGUUAGCUAACGGUGAGCAUCAUCCAUAGUCAUUGCUACUUUGCAAUGCAUUUAGUCAGUUCAGUUGAUAUUAUGUUAUAUUUUUGUUUGUUUGUUUGUUUGUCUCUCUUCUAUUGUAGUUGUGUUUAUUUGUUUGUUGCUUGAGGGCAAGCAAAAGUCUAAGUUGGGGGUGUUGAUGUGCCGUAGAAUUGCGGCACUUUUGAUACUAAUUACAUAGACUCUAGCUCGUCUUUUGAAGCAUUUUAAGUUAUUUUGUUAUGUAGUUUUGAUGUUUUGUAGCAAACUAGGCUUGAAGAACCAAGAACAAGGAAAGGGGAACAAAAAAACCAUAGAAUGCCAGAAAUGUUGCAGGUCUGUGACCGCACAACUGAUGUGCGGGCCGCAUACCAACCGCAGAGUGAAGCAUAUUUUCUCAGUUAUGAGAGUGGAUUGUGUGAUCUAUUGUGCGGUCGCAUAAUGCUUAUGCGGACCAAAUAAUGACCAUACAAGUGCAAAGAGAGUUUUUGCGAGAACAAGUCUGCGACAUCAAAUGCGAUCGCGAAAUAAAUAUGCGGACCAUAUAACAGAAAUGCGAUGAACAAUUGGGCAACUUGACAUUCAAUUAUGCAAUGGAGUUGCAGUUAUGCAGGCCGCGAAAGUGUUCUGCGACCUAUUCUGCGAUCGCAGAUGUGAUCCGUAGGGGUAUAUUUGUCAUAUUUUGACCCCGACUUUUAGCCUAUUAUAUAUAGAAUAACUAGGGUUUUUGAGGGACAACUACUUUGAUAGAGAGAGGCUACGCUUAGGACAUUGAAUGCACCAUUAUUUUGGAAGCAUGGGAGAUAAAAUCCAAGACUUUGUCUAUAAUUGUAAGCUUCAUGACUUUAUUUAUUACAUUGCUGUUGUAUUCUAGUAUGAGUAGAUAAGUUUAAAUAUAAAGGUUGUGAAUCCUAUAUGGGUGUAAUGUUAAUGUGUGUUCAUCAUUGAAUGUUUAUAUAAUGGAAAGUUGAUUUCUAUUCAUUUCUCAUGCGUCAUUUGUAGUUGAUGGUUGCAAAUAUUGACUAGUGCCAAUUCAUUCUAUCUUUACUUGGGAAAGUGGGUUAGAAUUUGGUAGAUUUGAAUAGCAAGAACUCAAGGCUCUAAACCCUAUUUAAUAGAAUCUCUUAGGAAUAAGUGGAUUCUAUUUUGCAUAAAUUGGUCGUUCUUAAUUAUCACUUAUUUUAUAUUUGGGAAAAUCAUAAAGAGAAACUACUAUCUAAUUGUUGGAAAAUAUUAGUUAGUAACCUAGAAAUCAUUUGCAUAUCAACGAGCUUCCCAUUUAACAAUAUGAAAUAUGGAUACCGUUAGCAUUGCAUUCCAUUGAUGGAGACACAAUCUUGGUUUCUUAAUCAAUUUUAUCAAAUUAUAUCAAUGAAAUAUCUUGUAUUGAUAAAUCUCAAUUACAACACUCUCUUUUUAAGCUAACGGAGUAGGAUUACGACUUAAGUCAAGUUUUACACUACUCAAGUAACCUUUUCACACCUAUUCCCUGUGAGAUUCAAACCCAACCUAGUUGGGUUACUAUAUUUGACAUCGGUCGCUUUAUACUAUUUAUUUAGGUGUAAUUUGAGCGUAUCUGCAUCUAGUUGGAAAGUACGUGCUUGGGAAGAUUUAAUUGGUUACGUAAUCGUAGCGAUCGUGGUAGGGGUAUGAAAGGGUGUUCAUUUGAGGAUAGUUUACUGUCCUAGAGUCUAUGUGUUUGUAUGGGACUUCAAUUCAGUGAAAGGUACAUAUUUUCAUUCAAGGCACUUAAGGAAAUGGGCCCGACUAUCACGAGGAUGGACAUGCACUAAUUAGGUGAUUUGAGGCAUCUUACGAUAGGAGUUGUACGAGCUAUGAAGGUUGAUAUUGCGGAUCAUCAGAUGAUAUGUCCUAUGGCUUUGCGCCAAGUAGGGGAGUCUACUAUCGACGAUCGGAUUGCAUGGUCAUGUGAUAUAUCAGUCUUGGUCUGAGGUAUAUAUGUGGUAUUGAAUGGUUCCCCGAAAUUUGUAUAUGGUUAAGGACUGAUAUUUGCAUGGGAUAAUGUUGGGACUUGUUGUAUUUUUGUGUCAUUAAUAAUUCUACAUUUUAGUAUCAGAGAGGUUAUUGAAACAACUUCGGAUUCACAAAAAGGUUUCUUCAGAGUGGACAUCUCGGUUGCAACAUUAUAGGGUGCUUCAGAGGAAAUAAAGUGGCUUAUGGGAUUCUAGGCCACGUGGUUCGUGCUAGGAUCUUCUGCAUCGAGAUUUGAUUUUGGGAUCAUUAUGUACCGACAAGAAGAAGUGUUACCCUUAAGAAAGGUCAAGGAGGAUCCGAAGGAAUGGGUCAGUUCGGUGGUGUUGGGCCAGCAUAGCAAGAAAGGUAAUUUGUCCUUUUUGGGUGGUAAUUCUUUAUCGGUAUUUGUGGCAGUACUAUUGGGUUUGACGGUUUGCAUGACUUGAAUGAGUUGGGAAAGUUCAGUCAUAGAUGGCAUGGGCGAUUUCAAAAGUUAAAGGAGUAUUGGAUGGAUAUCACAGAAGAAGAGAUUGCAUUUUUGGAGGCACCUUAUGUUUUGAAUUGCGGAUGUUUGACUAGUGUUACGGUGAUCGCCUGGUUUUAGGCUUCUGAAGUUCAGGUUUUGUUGCAUGGCAUGGCAGAUCUAUGUGGGUGUUUUUCGUAAGAUGAUGGAGUGUGAGUGAAAUACCAUCCAUUUGAGUAGCGGGAUUGAGAUCGGGUAUGGAUACUGGUAUUCAUGAGGUUUUGGGACUGGAUGUCCACGUAGGUAGACUAUUCCUUGAUUGUGGAUUGUGAAGAAAUGUUGAGAAUAGGAUAACUGAUGGCAUACAUUAUGGAUAGGUUUUUAUGAACUUUGGGAAGGUUAUUUAUCUGUUUGGGAAUAACCGGAGUUGGUUUGGGGGUUAUUUGAAAGCCUAAUGAGAAUGUGUAUUCUAUAUCAGAUAAGGUUUUUUUACUCUUACGCAAUUUCUAUCGUGGGUAUAUUAUCGGGCAGAAUGGAUGUUAUUCAUGCCCCAGUCUAUGCUAUGUGCUUCUCUGUUAUGCUUUGAUGGGUUGUGAGGUUAUAUAAUUAUUUUCACGCAUGUUGUAAUCCCAUUCAGGCCUUAUGGUGAUAUGGGUGGGAUGGCCCUCGUGAUGUUUAUUUGUUUAUUGCACCUUAGUUGUUCUUGCUUUUCUCCAUAUUGUAUUAUUCCCAUUCAUCUUUCCACUGUUAUAUUUGUGCUCUCUAGUGUGCUUGAUACUGGGAUACAUGUGAUUAGUGAUCCCAAGCAUUUUGGCUCGAUGGGUGUCCCUAUAUAGAUUGAUAUAUUUUGGAUCGGAUUGCGCGCCGCAACGGAUGCUAUGUGGGAUACUUUCCUUGUGGUUAUUUGAUGUUUUAUUUUCCCUCUGUGGGAUGAGUUAAUGAAAUUGCACUUUUAUUAUUAUAUUUGUUGUACUUGUUAGAUAGUUUUUGUACCUUGCUUUCUUUCUAUUGUUAGAUACUUUCUUUCUGAGUUAUUUCUUGUUUGGUGUAUGGACCAUGUUGUGUGAGAUUCUAUGUGGUUUUGGUGUGACUUAUCAGUGGGCUACUUGUAUGUGUUCAGAUGAGGUUUCUAGACCUGAGAGUUGCACUAUUGUAUUGGGAUGAGGAGUAUUUGAUUGAAUGAUACCCUAUUUCCGCUAAGAAUUGAGCAAUGAGCCUUGUCGAAUGAGAGAACUUCUUGACUAUUGAUUUUGUAGGUGAUUAUGAGUUUUCGCAUGUUUAUUUUAUCACUACCAGCAUCACGGAGGUCUAGAAUGAGGUUUUAUUUUGCAUGAAGUGUAUUACCGGUACCGAGAUUACUAUUUGGCCGAUCUGGUGGUCGGAAGUUGCUACUAUGGAUAGCUGAGGUAUGUUAAAUAUCAGGUGAUUAUACCUUGAGUUGAGGUUGUUACUUGGUCUAAGUUGUCCACGCUUACAUACGGUAUUGAUGCGAGAUUCGAGGCUUAUGAUGAGUUUCAGAAGUUGAGGAUUAGGCUCAAAGGUUUAUAGACUAAGGAUGAGGUGAGAUCUUUAGUUAAAUUGUGUUGUCAGUCUUACAUGGAUUGGGGUGAUGUUCGAUCAUCCCCGGGUGUAUGUAUGGUGAGCUCGUGCAGUGAUUUGAUAGCUUUGGAACGACUCCUGGCACGUUCGAGGACGAAUGUAUGUUUAAGUGGGGGAGGAUGUAACGACCCGACUGGUCGUUUUGAGUAUUUGCAUUCAGUUCGGCGGUUUGAGGUCACAAAUAGCUUCACAUGGUGUAUUAUGACUUACGUGCAACGUCGACUUUGGUUUUUGAGUGGUUCGGAAUUGAUUUUGUAUGAUGACCCUCACUUGAGAAGUUUGAAGUUGAAAGAGUUAACCAAGUUUGACUUUGUAUAUUUGACCCCGAAUCGGAGUUUGGAUGGUCUUGAUAGGUCCGGAUGGUGAUUUUGGACUUGGGAGUAUGCCCGGAGUUGCAUUUGAAUGUUUCUAGAAGGUAUAGGCACCAUUUGGCGGAAGUUGGCAAUUGAAAUAUUUGGAAUUUUUUGUAGUUUGAACAUGGUUUAACUUUAAGGAUAUCGAGUUCGGAUUUUGGUUUUGGGACUUGGAAUAGGUCUGUUUCGUCAUUUGGAACUUGUCUACAAAAUUUGGUGUCGUUUGGAGUUGGUUUGAUGUGGUUUGGACGCUUGGUUGCAAUUCUAGAAGUUCUUAAAGUUCAUUGUGAUUUCAAUGCGUUUUGGUGUCCGAUUCAUGAUUGAUGGUAUUUAGAUGUUUUAAUUGAGAGCGAGUUCAUAUUAUGUUUAUAGACUUGUGUGGAUAUUUGGUUUGGAGCCCCAAUGGCUCAAAUGCGUUUUGAACGUGUUCGAGGGGGGUUAGGGAGGGACCUCCCUUUUGCGAGGAAAUCAUCACUUUUGCGAAGUUGACUGAGGCCUGCAAAGUUUGCAUUUGCAUUGAAGGCCUGGGCUGGGGAAGAGUCCCUUAUGACUUCUAGUGUAGAUUCGUUAUUGCGGUUGGUUUUGUGAUACGCCGUAGUAGGUUGUAGUUAUUUGUGUAAUGCCUAUUUUAUGGGGAUCGGGUUGCAUGCUGCAACAAUAUUGAAAUGAUAUAAAAAUAUAUGAUAUGGAGCGAUAAGGACGAUGACAUGAUAUAGGUGAGAUCGGGUUGCACGCCGCAACAAAUAUUAUUAUUAUUGUUUGGAAUCAGGUUGCACGCCGCAACAGAUUGAUAUAUUGUAAUUGUUGUGACAGUAAAUUUAUCCUGAAUUGUUAUUCUCAUGGUGUGUUCUAUGUUGGAAUGGUUUAUCAGUUGGACGAUUUUAUUUUUUCCCUUAAAUCAUUUAAUUGGUAUUUGAUCAUUUAAUUUCUUGUGUUACUCUAAUGUGCCAUUAUGUGCCUCCAUUAUUACUUGGUAAAUUGAAUGUCAAGGUGAAUUAUAUGGUCAUUAUCUCAUAUUCUGUUGAGUUGUUGGUAACAUAAUGGUUUAAAAUAAAAGAAUUAUUAACAUGUCUUAUUCUAUGUGUCUCUUAAGAUAGAACUCGUUAUAUCACUCAGUUCCUUAAUAGUUUUAAAUGGAUAUCACAUUUGCACUUUAAUUGGGUUCUCAAAUUUUAUUCAUCACCCUAUUGAUGUUUACUUUACUUAAAACAGUUAUCACAUUUUAUUUCUAACAAAUCCUAAAUUUAGCUUGUUAAUUUAACUGAGGUUUUAUUUUGUUUAAAUAUGAUAUUUUUACUUUAUCUUAUUAAUUUCUAAACUAAACCCAUCUGAUACUCUAUUUGCAUGACCUUUCCUUUAUUCUACUUUAUUUGAAUCCUAAAAUAAACAUAUUAUCUCAUUUGACACCUCUUUUUAUUCAAGAUUGUUAUUAUGCUUUAUUGUGUUUUAAUAUAUCUCUCGAUCAUCUUAACUGAUAUUGAUACAUAUGCGAUGUACAUGGUAGCACGAGGACUUUGCCGUGCGAAGGUGAUUGUUAUUGUGAGCACGAGGUGCCAACGUGAAAGAUUUGAAAAUGUGGAUAACGGUUUGUGAUUUCGAGGAGUGGUACAUCAGGGUAAAACUUGUUGCAAGUCCAUGCAUUGAGAACAAUUUAAUUAAUUAAGUUUUUAUCUUUAACUUAUUGAGUUCGUUCAUAUCCCAUCGUUGUUGUGAUUAUGCUGCUGUUCUAUUACCCGUCUACUUCUUUCUAGCAUUUGAGUUUCCAUUAUCUUCGUCGUUGGUUGUAAAUUAUAAUCCUUCCAUUGUUAGUCCUACAUGUAUGUUCUUUCCAUUGUUAAUUUUGUGUUACAUCUUGUAUAGGUUUCUAUGUUUAGUAGGUGUCUUGACCUGGCCUCGACACUACUCCACCGAGGUUAUGCUUGAAACUUUUGGGUACCAUUGUGGUGUACUCAUGCUACGCUCCUGCACCAUUUUGUGUAGAUUCAUGUACUUUUGAUCGUGUUAUUGAGAGUUGUGUCUGCGCGGAUGAAGACUUCAAGGUACACCUGCUUGACGUUCGAAGGCCUCAGAGUCACCCUCAGUUAUCUUCGCAUUACUGUUUAUCCUUUUAUAAGACAAUGUUGUAUUAGAGGUUUUAGUACGUUUCUGUAGAGCUUACGACUCACUUUCACCGUGUUUUGGGAAUGUUAACUAGGUAUCAUAUUUUUAGUCGUUAUUUCUAUAAUAUUUCCUUGUUGAUUAGGCUUACCUAGACUUAGAGGCUAGGUGCCAUCACGGCAUCUUAUGGUGAGAAAAAUGGGAUCGUGACAUGGACCCCGAGAUAUACUUGUGCCAGUGAGGGGCGCCUCAACCACAAAACCAGGCUCACACCAAAAUACCCUUGAACUUUGACCAUUACUCUUCCUCAAAGGUUUGAGCUCAAACAAAUGUUAAUUCACCAACUCAACCAACAUAUAACAUGAAAGGUAGAAGGUUCAUCAAAUAACCUUUCAAAGGUUCAGCAAUUCAAAAACACCAACUUGAAAUCAAACAACCUUGUUAAGAAUUGAAGCCAUCAUUAGAGUGCCAAACCAUAAGAAACUAAGGACUUAACACAAUAUGGACCUUGAAUAUAAGAAUAGGUCAUUGUAACUGGAUCAUUAAAGGUUUGAUGGUAACAAAAGGCCUUGAUAGGUCACAAAGCAAAGAAGGUUGGUUGUAUGCUGACAGUACAUAGGUUCUAUUUCUUACAACUUCAAGUUUAAGAAUGCCUUAUUGAGUAGUCUAAAGUAUAAGUAAGUGACAAUGAUGGGCAUAUGCACUUGUUUUAUUAUUUUCAAUAAAGGUGCAACACUUUAGAACCUUCUUAAAUACGUUCAGAUCACUAGAGCAAGUAACAGACAUCUUAACAAUUUUUGGAACAGUUGUGAGCAAAUAUGCAUAUAAUAACCUCUCUUCAUUAAACACUUAUGCUAAUGACCUCACUCAGAAUUCAAAGGGGGUAUACGAAUCAGCUGGGAUAACAUGGAUAUUAACAUGACUAGGAAGGCUAGCUUUAGUCUUUAUUUAAACCUAAUGGCCGUGGUAUUUAGUCAUGACAAUGCACACAGUCUAUUAGGUUUCAAAUUACCAGAACCAAACAAUACUCAGAUUCAUUAGUGAGUACUCCCUAAUCAGUGUUGUCAAACAGUUAUGAAAUAAAAAGUAGAGAUGUUCUUUUUUAGUUGGUCAAAGCAGGGUAAGUAGAUCACAUCAAGUGACCAUUUAGACAUGUAAGCAAGUUUAUCAAUAAGUCAUGACAACAAAUCUCCCCACAAGAUUUUAUUUUAUACAAGUUGUCAUGAUAGACACACAUGAAUCAUUUUAUCAUAACUGUGCAAUACAUCACAUUAUCAUAAACAAGAUGUCAGUUAGAGUCAUUUAGGUAAACAAAUAAACAUUAGAAUAUGAGCAUAAUCAUCAAUAAGAACCAGUCAAUAGACUAGACCAAAAUAUCAUGACAUUAAAGGUUGAGACAAACAUAAUGAUGCAUGCAUAAGGGUCUUAGCUAGUUAACAUAAUGAUUUAAGCAUGAAAUUUUCUUAACUAAUGGCAUGUAAAACUUUACGAACAUUACUUGAUUAGAAAAAAUCAUGAUAAAUAUAGGCACAAACAUAAAAAUCAAUAAGUGCCAUUCAAUAAAUACAACAGUGUAGGUUGCACAUAACUACUAUCAUAGAAUUCAGACAGUCACGAGGAAUUAAUAGAUUGUUUAUAAAGACAACAAUAAGGCGUCAUUUCAGUUAUUUAAGCAUGAUCAAACGAUUCAACGAUCAUCAUGAAAUAUUUAUUUGACAACAACACAUGGAUAAACACAAUCUUCAGCAAACAUCAUUAAUAUAAACAAGAGUAACACAAGAGCAUAAUACAAUAAGAAGGUUGCAUGUGUACAGAUGAACACCAUGAAGAGGAGAAUAUCAAAUAAUAACAGAAAAAUAUCAGAACAAAGAGCUACAUAAUUAAUUGAAAGAAUGAAAGAGAGGAGUCAGUGUUCACUGACCUUCUUCAGAGAAGCAAACCCAAUAAGGAUGAUUUGUAGCCAUUUAAGAAUCCAACCUCACAACCAACUUACAAUAAUCAAACUCGAACAAGAAGAAAAGUGAAAGAGAUUAGAGAAGAACUUCGGAAUACUUAGAUCAACAGAAAAUUCUUAAGUCUUAGUGUGUGUUAUGUGUUCUUUCAAUGCCUUUUUCGUGAUUUUUCAGUGUUUGGUGAGAGCAUUAAAAGCUCUAGUUAUAGUAGUAUUGAAGCCUUAGGGCUUCAUUUGAAUUCAAAGGGAUAGUGGGGGAUGACGAGUGAUGAGUGACUGAUGAUGAUAUCAAAAGGGGGGAAAACAGAAGGAGAACAAAUCGGAAAUCAGGAUGGAGCUUUUACCUUGAAGAAAACUGGACGUUGGAGACCAAAGGACUAUCAGUUAAAGGAAAAGCUGGGGUU